UGGGGAAUAUUGCACAAUGGGCGCAAGCCUGAUGCAGCCAUGCCGCGUGUAUGAAGAAGGCCUUCGGGUUGUAAAGCACUUUCAGCGGGGAGGAAGGCGAUAAGGUUAAUAACCUUGGCAAUUGACGUUACCGACAGAAGAAGCACCGGCUAACUCCGUGCCAGCAGCCGCGGUAAUACGGAGGGUGCAAGCGUUAAUCGGAAUUACUGGGCGUAAAGCGCACGCAGGCGGUUGAUUGAGUCAGAUGUGAAAUCCCCGGGCUUAACCCGGGAAUUGCAUCUGAUACUGGUCAGCUAGAGUCUUGUAGAGGGGGGUAGAAUUCCAUGUGUAGCGGUGAAAUGCGUAGAGAUGUGGAGGAAUAACGGUGGCGAAGGCGGCCCCCUGGACAAAGACUGACGCUCAGGUGCGAAAGCGUGGGGAGCAAACAGG
rnacentral:rRNA from 1 species